rnacentral:rRNA from 1 species
AUGCCUGCGAGGAACGUGGUGGCUGGAAAUGCCAUGGUAGUAUGUUAUGCCCGAGCAGGGGAUGUGGAGGCUGCGCAGGAGAUGUUCGACGGCAUGGUGGAGAGGGACCUCAUCUCCUGGAACACGCUCAUGUCAGGGUACCUGCGGCAAGGCGAUGCUGGUGUCGCAAGGGGCCUGUUUGAUCAGAUGCCGCAGAGGAAUGUGAACAGCUGGAACAUGGUGAUCACCGCGUACUCCCAGGCAGGGUUGUGGGCUGACUCGGUUGGGGUGUUCAAUCAGAUGCGGCUGAUGAGUUUCCAGCCUGAUGCUGCAACAAUGGCCGUGUUGAUGUCCGCAUGCGCACAGCUAGGCUCCUUGUCAGUUGCAAGGCAGGUGCAUGGACUUCUACACAAGGGCUGUGUCGAGAUGAACUGCCAUGUGCAGAAUUCUUUGGUUGACAUGUUUGCCAAGUGCGGUUGCAUCAGGGAAGCCCAUUUCUUGUUUGGCGAGACACGUCCGAAGGAUGCGGUGUCUUACAAUGUGAUGGUCACUGCUCUUGCGCAACAUGGACAUGGCAAAGGUGCACUGAAGCUUUUCAACGACAUGAUUGAGGAAGGGUUGCGGCCUGAUGCAGUGACAUUUCUUGGCGUGUUAUCAGCUUGCGCCCAUGCUGGGCUAGUGGACAAUGGAAAGCGCUAUUUUGAGUCCAUGGGAAUAACGUAUGCAAUUCAGAAAUCCGCAGAUCACUAUGCUUGCAUGGUGGAUCUCUAUGGCCGAGCUGGGCUUAUUGAAGAAGCGCACUCCUUUGUGAAGGUAAUGCCCGUGAAGCCACAUGCAGGUGUCUAG